CCAGGAGAGGAGCUGGCUGCAGAUAUCGCCACCAGUUCCGUCGCCAGUGCCUCGCUGAACAGUGACGCAUCGAGCAGGUCCCGGCUACUCUCCUUUUCCUGAAGAUUUAAAGUCACAGAUUUAGAACAGCGCUCACUGACUUAUGAGUGUAUCACAUCAUGUCUCCGCGCCAGGUGAUCAUUUGGGGUGCAGCAUACAGGACUCCACAAUGAAUCACCUGGGCGCCCACGAGGAGGUGAUAUAACUUUGGUGUCUGUGAACUGAAACGAUUUAAAACUUGAAACAAACCCUUAAUGAAAUAAUACAUUACUCUGCUAAUCGAUACGAAAGAGAGAAGAUCAGAGACCGCCUAACAUGAACAUUCUGGUUAGGUCAUGCAAGGUGAUUAUCCCGCCACGACACCGAGGGUUGGUUAUCCAGGGGGCAGAGAGUCAAACCACACCGGGCCACACGACUUACGCUGACGAACAACUUACGGUGCAAAGUCAGAAGAGUUGAGGUGGGCAGGUUGCUGGACUUACCCUGUCUUUGGCUCCUAACUCAGCACCCUGGCCCAUGAGCAGCGCCACCAGGUGGUAGUGACCUCGCAUGGCUGCCAAAUGUAGGCCAGUCCUCCCGCGCUUGUCUACUUUUGAUACCUGACG